rnacentral:misc_RNA from 1 species
AGGGCAGCAGUUCCCCUCGCCCCAGUCCGAUGAACAGAUCGAAAAAUUCCUUGGCGACCACGCGCUCGUCGAACUGCGCCGCCGCUGCGGCAAGUUCGAUAUGCGCCAUGCCGAGAUCGGACGGGUCGCCCUUGAGCAUCGCGACCUUGGACAAUGUGUCUGCGGUCGGCGCUUUGCCCAGCAGCAGCGACAGCAAGCCGUACUCCGCGGCGCGAAGUUGAUCGAUUUCGUCGAUGUCUGAUUUCGCUGGCAUAUGCUCCCCGGCUGAUCCGUAGAGGUCGGGGCGGAGAACGAAACGGGGAACCUGUGUCAGAGACUCAACGGCGAGGACUCUCUCAGCCGG